CUAAGUUCCAAACCAAGAACAUGAAGUAAAUAUGAAAGCCCAAAUGAUGUCCGGUUUGCUAUUCUUUGCAUUUUCUUUGCUUUUCCUUACCAAUAGUCGCUCACACCGCUCCCAAACGUAUAACCUACAAAAUGAACACAAAAUGCAUGAAAAGUAACUAAGACACAUAAAUAUAAGCAACUAAUUCAAGUAAAAGAUACUGGAUAAGUGUAUAUAAAAUCCACUUAUC
rnacentral:lncRNA from 1 species